GACGAACGCUGGCGGCGUGCUUAACACAUGCAAGUCGAACGGAAAGGCCCUGCUUUUGUGGGGUGCUCGAGUGGCGAACGGGUGAGUAACACGUGAGUAACCUGCCCUUGACUUUGGGAUAACUUCAGGAAACUGGGGCUAAUACCGGAUAGGAGCUCCUGCUGCAUUGUGGGGGUUGGAAAGUUUCGGCGGUUGGGGAUGGACGCGCGGCUUAUCAGCUUGUUGGUGGGGUAGUGGCUUACCAAGGCUUUGACGGGUAGCCGGCCUGAGAGGGUGACCGGCCACAUUGGGACUGAGAUACGGCGCAGACUCCUACGGGAGGCAGCAGUGGGGAAUAUUGCACAAUGGGCGGAAGCCUGAUGCAGCAACGCCGCGUGCGGGAUGACGGCCUUCGGGUUGUAAACCGCUUUCGCCUGUGACGAAGCGUGAGUGACGGUAAUGGGUAAAGAAGCACCGGCUAACUACGUG
rnacentral:rRNA from 1 species